rnacentral:rRNA from 1 species
AUUUAAGUUGUUGUAGUUAAAAAGCUCGUAGUUGGAUCUUGGGUCGUAAAGGUCAGUCCGCCUACUCGGUGUGCACCUGCCCUUCCGUCCCUUUUUUCAGUGGCGUGCUCCUGGCCUUAAUUGGCUAGGUCGCGGUUCCAGCAUUGUUACUUUGAAAAAAUUAGAGUGCUCAAAGCAAGCUUAUGCUCUGAAUACAUUAGCAUGGAAUAAUGCGAUAAGAGUUUGGUCCUAUUGUGUUGGCCUUCGGGACCGGAGUAAUGAUUAAUAGGGAUUGUCGGGGGCAUUCGUAUUUCAUUGUCAGAGGUGAAAUUCUUGGAUUUAUGAAAGAUGAACCAUUGUGAAAGCAUUUGCCAAGGAUGUUUUCAUUAAUCAAGAACGAAAGUUGGGGGCUUGAAGACGAUCAAAUACUGUCCUAGUCUCAACCAUAAACGAUGUCGACCAGGGAUCAACGGAUGUUUCUCUAAGGACUCCGCCAACACCUUCUUAGAAAUCAGAGUGUUUGGGUUCUGGGGGGAGUAUGGUCGCAAGGCUAAAACUUAAAGGAAUUGAUGGAAGGGAACCACCAGGAGUGGAGCCUGCAGCUUAAUUUGACACAACACUAGAAAACUUACGAGGUCUAGACAUAGUAAGGAUUGACAGAUUGAGAGCUCUUUCUUGAUUCUACGGGUGGUGGUGCAUGGCUGUUCUUAGUUGGUGGAGCGAUUUGUCUGGUUAAUUCCGAUAACGAACGAGACCUCGGCCUGCUAACUAGCUACGCGUAGGUUCCCCUUCACAGCCAGUUUCUUUGAGGGACUAUGGUCGUUUAGGCCAUGGAAGUUUGAGGCAAUAACAGGUCUGUGAUGCCCUUAGAUGUUCUGGGCCGCACGCGCGCUACACUGAUGUUGUCAAUGAGUUUUUCUCCCUGGUUCGAGAGGAUCGGGAAAUCUUCUCAAAUUGCAUCGUGAUGGGGAUAGACCAUUGCAAUUAUUGGUCUUCAACAAGGAAUUCCUAGUAAGCACGUGUCAUCAGCUCAUGUUGACUACAUCCAUGCCCUUUAUACACACCGCCUGUCGCUCCUACCGAUUGAAU